CUUUGGGGUGUGACUGCGUACCUUUUGUAUAAUGGGUCAGCGACUUAUAUUCUGUAGCAAGGUUAACCGUAUAGGGGAGCCGGAGGGAAACCGAGUCUUAACCGGGCGUUAAGUUGCAGGGUAUAGACCCGAAACCCGGUGAUCUAGCCAUGGGCAGGUUGAAGGUUGGGUAACACUAACUGGAGGACCGAACCGACUAAUGUUGAAAAAUUAGCGGAUGACCUGUGGCUGGGGGUGAAAGGCCAAUCAAACCGGGAGAUAGCUGGUUCUCCCCGAAAGCUAUUUAGGUAGCGCCUCGUGAAUUCAUCUCCGGGGGUAGAGCACUGUUUCGGCUAGGGGGCCAUCCCGGCUUACCAACCCGAUGCAAACUGCGAAUACCGGAGAAUGUUAUCACGGGAGACACACGGCGGGUGCUAACGUCCGUCGUGAAGAGGGAAACAACCCAGACCGCCAGCUAAGGUCCCAAAGUCAUGGUUAAGUGGGAAACGAUGUGGGAAGGCCCAGACAGCCAGGAUGUUGGCUUAGAAGCAGCCAUCAUUUAAAGAAAGCGUAAUAGCUCACUGGUCGAGUCGGCCUGCGCGGAAGAUGUAACGGGGCUAAACCAUGCACCGAAGCUGCGGCAGCGACACUGUGUGUUGUUGGG
rnacentral:rRNA from 1 species